rnacentral:rRNA from 1 species
GAUUAACGCUGGCGGCGUGCAUAACACAUGCAAGUCGAACGAUGAAACUUAAAUGAUUUCUUCGGAAUGAACUUAAGUGGAUUAGUGGCGGACGGGUGAGUAACGCGUGAGUAACCUGCCUUACAUAAGGGGAUAGCCGUUGGAAACGACGAAUAAUACCCUAUGAAACCAUCACUUCGCAUGAAGCGAUAGUCAAAGUGUUAGCGGUGUAAGAUGGACUUGCGUCUGAUUAGCUAGUUGGUGAGAAAAAAGCCCACCAAGGCAACGAUCAGUAGCCGGCUUGAGAGAGUGUACGGCCACAUUGGGACUGAGACACGGCCCAGACUCCUACGGGAGGCAGCAGUGGGGAAUUUUGCACAAUGGGGGAAACCCUGAUGCAGCGACGCCGCGUGAUUUAGAAGGCCUUCGGGUUGUAAAAAUCUUUUGUAUAGGAAGAAAAUGACAGUACUAUACGAAUAAGGUCCGGCUAAUUACGUG